GAUGAACGCUGGCGGCGUGCCUAACACAUGCAAGUCGAACGAGAAGCUAACUUCUGAUUCCUUCGGGGAGAUGAAGUUGGUAGAAAGUGGCGAACGGGUGAGUAACGCGUGGGUAAUCUACCCUGUUAGUGGGGGAUAACCCUCCGAAAGGAGGGCUAAUACCGCAUAAGGUCUUCACUUCUUAAGAAGUAAAGAUUAAAGAUGGCCUCUAUACUAUGCUAUCGCUUCAGGAUGAGCCCGCGUCCUAUUAGUUAGUUGGUGGGGUAAUGGCCUACCAAGACCACAAUGGGUAGCCGGUCUGAGAGGAUGUACGGCCACACUGGGACAGAGAUACGGCCCAGACUCCUACGGGAGGCAGCAGUGGGGAAUCUUGCGCAAUGGGGGAAACCCUGACGCAGCGACGCCGCGUGGAUGAUGAAGGCCUUUGGGUUGUAAAAUCCUGUUCUGGGGGAAGAAACCUUAAGGGUCCAAUAAACCCUUAAGCUGACGGUACCC
rnacentral:rRNA from 1 species